rnacentral:lncRNA from 1 species
AUGUUUUACAGAUAUCAACCAACAUCUCCAACCUCUUGUCCAGAGCGGGGCCACAUGGGUUUGGCCAGUGCCUGCUGUUUGGCGGGUCUGGGGUUCGAGCCCUGUUUGGGGUUCCUAGAGGCAGACUGGCAUCCCGUCCAAGUGGAAGUUCAUACAGUGACAGCUGUCAGUGACUACAGCAUGAAGAAGAACUGGGGGAACUGCCUCUUCUGGGAGGAACAGAGACAGGCAGAGGAGCAGUUUCAGAACAGUUCUCAGAACUCCUACCUGAUCAACAAGCCACCCCUGAACAGGGAAAUGGACAGCAGGGAUUACAGGAGCAGACGAGAAUCGUGGUCAUGGGACAGAAAGAAGGUCAGAACCAAAGAAGUUGUUGGGGGCAAAGCCAGGAUCAUGGCUGGGUACGUGCUGGGUCAAAACCAGGAAUGAGCUCUCCAGG